rnacentral:rRNA from 1 species
CGUUAGCGGCGGACGGGUGAGUAACACGUGGGUAACCUACCUAUAAGACUGGGACAACUUCGGGAAACCGGAGCUAAUACCGGAUAAGAUAUCGAACCGCAUGGUUCGAUAGUGAAAGAUGGUUUUGCUAUCACUUAUAGAUGGACCCGCGCCGUAUUAGCUAGUUGGUGAGGUAACGGCUCACCAAGGCAACGAUACGUAGCCGACCUGAGAGGGUGAUCGGCCACACUGGAACUGAGACACGGUCCAGACUCCUACGGGAGGCAGCAGUA